rnacentral:rRNA from 1 species
UACGGAGGGGGCUAGCGUUGUUCGGAAUUACUGGGCGUAAAGCGCACGUAGGCGGCUUUGUAAGUUAGAGGUGAAAGCCCGGAGCUCAACUCCGGAAUUGCCUUUAAGACUGCAUCGCUUGAAUCAUGGAGAGGUGAGUGGAAUUCCGAGUGUAGAGGUGAAAUUCGUAGAUAUUCGGAAGAACACCAGUGGCGAAGGCGACUCACUGGACAUGUAUUGACGCUGAGGUACGAAAGCGUGGGGAGCAAACAGG